CGGAGUAUAGUAUAGUGGUAGUAUACACCCAUGGGGUGGGUGCGGCUCCGGUUCGAUUCCGGGUACUCCGACCA
rnacentral:tRNA from 15 species